GGGGCUCUUUAACUCUAUACUGUAGAAUAACUAUAGAAUUAUGGAAUUCUAGAGUAUGUACUCUUGAAAGCUCUCCAGUUGAGAAUUCUACGUAUUCCUCUUCAAACUACAAAUCCCAGGAUUUCAUAGGAUGUUGUCGUGGGAGUUAAAGUGGAAUCACAAUACAACAGUUGAGCAGUAUGAAAAGGAUGGCAUUCAAGCUCAAUAAUAUUGAACAGAUUUGCCAAAUUACCAGAUUGCAAAAACAUGUGGAAUCAAGUUUUAAUGUCCCUGAAAUAGUUUCUAGUUACAAUUUAACCCCCAGGAAAUUUAUAUAAACAGGAUUGUGGACUUAAGUAUCUGCUUAUUUUGCAGCCAUCAAAUUUAUAUAAGAAAGACUGUUCCUUAUCUUGGCAGUUGGUCAACACAGGCUUGUUCAGUGACAAUGUUGUUGAGCCAUGGCACCCCUUCCUCAAAAGACUUCAAGACCCAAAGCGGCUCAUAAAAGGUCUGAAGAAUACAAGUCUUCAGCAGGUCUGAAGAAUACAAUGUUUGAUGGUACUGAAAUUAUUGAGAGGUCCAGUGGAAUCAAAAAGAACAUGUUAUCCGUAUUCAGUUCCCAACAUGAAUCAUCCACCAAGAAUGUAAAGAAGGGCUUGUUGGAUUGGAACAAGACCUGCCUGGAACAGCAUUCUGGCAUUACAGGACCAAUACAUACAGGAAGUCAACAAGCAAAGCAUGGCUACAACAUGUUGCUCAGCAAGCAAAGUAGAGCCACUGAUACUAAUAUAUAAUGCUAAUGUCUGGCUAUAUAAUAACUGAGGACUAUGGAUAGCCUUAUCCUCUAUGAACUUAUAAUAUGAGGAAACUAAAGCACAAUUAUGGCAGGAUAUUAGUGCCUAUUGAGGAGGCCCCCAAUGGCGCAGUGGGUUAAACUGCUGAGCUGCUGAACUUGCUGACUGAAAAGUCAGUGGUUCAAAUCCAGGGAGAGAGGUGAGCUCCCGCUUUUAGUUCGAGCUUCUGCCAACCUAGCAGUUCAAAAACAUGCAAAUGUGAGUAGAUCAAUAGGUACCGCUCCGGUGGGAAGGUAAUGGCGCCCAUGCAGUCAUGUUGGCCACAUCAACUUGGAGACAUCUACGGACAACAGCAGCUCUUUGGCUUAGAAAUGGAGAUAAGCACCAACCCGCAGAGUCGGACAUGACUAGACUUAAUGUCAGGGGAAAACCUUUACCUUUACCUUAAGGGCCUAUUGAUGGGGCUUUCUGCACGAUGUUGUGGUUGCCCCAUAGUCUCAUUGUGCUUGAAACGCGCUUGGAUCAUUUAUUUUAAAUGAAAAGGAAACCUGUCAAUAAAUCCAAUAUCGCUAUUGUUCUACAA